rnacentral:rRNA from 10 species
AAACUUUCAACAACGGAUCUCUUGGUUCUGGCAUCGAUGAA